rnacentral:rRNA from 1 species
UACGUAGGUGGCAAGCGUUGUCCGGAAUCACUGGGCGUAAAGGGCGCGUAGGCGGUUACUUAAGUCAGGUGUGAAAACUUUCGGCUUAACCGGGAGAUGGCACAUGAAACUGAGUAACUUGAGUGCAGGAGAGGGCAGUGGAAUUCCUAGUGUAGCGGUGAAAUGCGUAGAUAUUAGGAGGAACACCAGUGGCGAAGGCGACUGCCUGGACUGUAACUGACGCUGAGGCGCGAAAGCGUGGGUAGCGAACAGGAUUAGAUACCCUGGUA